CUGCGUUUCCGGCGAGGGGACUUGCCAUGGAGUUUCUGAGCAUCAACAAUGUCUGAGACAAGCAAAAAAAAGUGACGGUCAGGUCGCACAAGCAACCCAACAGGGUGUAGAUGAAAUAGAGCGCAGGUACGCCCACCACAGCAACAAAACACGCCGGUAAUUGUCUACAAGUGUAUGCACACUAAAGAGAUCAUCUAUCGCGGGAAGCACCCAUCAGACAUAGAUAGUAAUACCAGUGCACCAGAUGCUGA